ACGAACGCUGGCGGCGUGGAUAAGACAUGCAAGUCGAACGAGAGAAUUGCUAGCUUGCUAAUAAUUCUCUAGUGGCGCACGGGUGAGUAACACGUGAGUAACCUGCCCCCGAGAGCGGGAUAGCCCUGGGAAACUGGGAUUAAUACCGCAUAGUAUCGAAAGAUUAAAGCAGCAAUGCGCUUGGGGAUGGGCUCGCGGCCUAUUAGUUAGUUGGUGAGGUAACGGCUCACCAAGGCGAUGACGGGUAGCCGGUCUGAGAGGAUGUCCGGCCACACUGGAACUGAGACACGGUCCAGACACCUACGGGUGGCAGCAGUCGAGAAUCAUUCACAAUGGGGGAAACCCUGAUGGUGCGACGCCGCGUGGGGGAAUGAAGGUCUUCGGAUUGUAAACCCCUGUCAUGUGGGAGCAAAUUAAAAAGAUAGUACCACAAGAGGAAGAGACGGCUAACUCUGUGCCAGCAGCCGCGGUAAUACAGAGGUCUCAAGCGUUGUUCGGAAUCACUGGGCGUAAAGCGUGCGUAGGCUGUUUCGUAAGUCGUGUGUGAAAGGCGCGGGCUCAACCCGCGGACGGCACAUGAUACUGCGAGACUAGAGUAAUGGAGGGGGAACCGGAAUUCUCGGUGUAGCAGUGAAAUGCGUAGAUAUCGAGAGGAACACUCGUGGCGAAGGCGGGUUCCUGGACAUUAACUGACGCUGAGGCACGAAGGCCAGGGGAGCGAAAGGGAUUAGAUACCCCUGUAGUCCUGGCAGUAAACGGUGCACGCUUGGUGUGCGGGGAAGCGACCCCCUGCGUGCCGGAGCUAACGCGUUAAGCGUGCCGCCUGGGGAGUACGGUCGCAAGAUUAAAACUCAAAGAAAUUGACGGGGACCCGCACAAGCGGUGGAGUAUGUGGCUUAAUUCGAUGCAACGCGAAGAACCUUACCUGGGCUUGACAUGUAAUGAACAACAUGUGAAAGCAUGCGACUCUUCGGAGGCGUUACACAGGUGCUGCAUGGCCGUCGUCAGCUCGUGUCGUGAGAUGUUUGGUUAAGUCCAGCAACGAGCGCAACCCCUGUUGCCAGUUACCAGCACGUGAAGGUGGGGACUCUGGCGAGACUGCCCAGAUCAACUGGGAGGAAGGUGGGGACGACGUCAGGUCAGUAUGGCCCUUAUGCCCAGGGCUGCACACGUACUACAAUGCCCAGUACAGAGGGGGCCGAAGCCGCGAGGCGGAGGAAAUCCUAAAAACUGGGCCCAGUUCGGACUGUAGGCUGCAACCCGCCUACACGAAGCCGGAAUCGCUAGUAAUGGCGCAUCAGCUACGGCGCCGUGAAUACGUUCCCGGGUCUUGUACACACCGCCCGUCACAUCAUGGAAGCCGGUCGCACCCGAAGUAUCUGAAGCCAACCGCAAGGAGGCAGGGUCCUAAGGUGAGACUGGUAACUGGGAUG
rnacentral:rRNA from 1 species